CACUGACUUGCCAACAUCACUCUUGAUCAUCAUCGCCAUGAGUAAUAAUAGCAUUUUGAAAUACUCUGAGAAAAAGCAGCCUGGGAGUAACACUGGAGAUAGAAGGGAGUCACAAACUGCUGACAAUGCUCAGG